CGGCCGGUAAAUAGGUUGUUCAUAUAGUUGUUAUUACGGUAAUAUAAUAAUAUGUUGCUAAACAAUUUAUUUUUGCCCUCGUUUCUAUUUUCCUAAUUUUUCCGAUUGUUUUUUUUCAGAAAUUGACAAUUUCUAAUUAGAACUCAUGUAAAAUAACUACUACACAUCGGUUUUUUAGAUUAUGAGUGUAUCGAAGAACGUAUUGCUAAACGUAUUGAAGAACAAUCACGU